rnacentral:misc_RNA from 1 species
ACCCUUGUGGAGGAGGACGCCGAAGGUGGGGCUAAUGACUGGGGUGAAGUCGUAACAAGGUAGCCGUACCGGAAGGUGCGGCUGGAUCACCUCCUAACAGGGAGACAACAAAAUGUUUAAUAUUAUUAUUUUGUCACCUUAGGUCGAUCGGUAUCUCACGUUUUUAAUUUAUUAAGAAUUUCAUUUCCUAAGUUUUUCUAGGUCACACCCAUUAUUUUUCCUGGGCCAUUAGCUCAGGUGGUUAGAGCGCACCCCUGAUAAGGGUGAGGUCCCUGGUUCAAGUCCAGGAUGGCCCAUAUCUCUAUGUUGGGGGUAUAGCUCAGUUGGUAGAGCGCCUGCUUUGCAAGCAGGAUGUCAGCGGUUCGAGUCCGCUUACCUCCACUGAUUACCACCUCUUCCAUAACCGGUAGAAAGGAAAUGUUUUGAGUUGUGAUCAAAUUCUGAAAGAAUCUAGCUUCCUAAUGAAAUCAUUAAGAUGCUGGACUCAUUGAAUUAAUUUCAUUGUUUUCAGAGAACCUUGACAACUGCAUAGAUUAUUUUUAAAGACAAUAAGCAUCUUUAAUGAUGCAGAUUUAUUAUUUGUGCGAAUGCAUUAAUAACAAUUCUAUUAAGCUGAUGCUUCAAUUUUUGAAGUUAUUGGUCAAGCUACAAAGGGCUCACGGAGGAUACCUAGGCACACAGAGGCGAU